rnacentral:rRNA from 1 species
AGAUCGAACGCUGGCGGCAUGCCUAACACAUGCAAGUCGAACGGGAGUAGCAAUACUCUAGUGGCGGACGGGUGAGGAAUACGUAGGAAUUUGCCCUUAAGUGGGGGAUAACCCGGGGAAACCCGGAUUAAUACCGCAUGACCUCGAAAGAGCAAAGUGGGGGAUCGCAAGACCUCACGCUUUUGGAGAAGCCUACGUCGGAUUAGCUAGUUGGUGAGGUAAUGGCUCACCAAGGCACGAUCCGUAACUGGUCUGAGAGGAUGAUCAGUCACACCGGAACUGAGACACGGUCCGGACUCCUACGGGAGCAGCAGUGGGGAAUAGUUGGACAAUGGGCGCAAGGCCUGAUCCAGCAAUGCCGCGUGUGUGAAGAAGGCCGUUAGGUUAGUAAAGUCAACGUUUAAGGUUAGGGAAAGAAAAAACGUACGACCUACUAAACACCUAGUAGAGUAC